GACGUAGGGCGCAAGCGUUGUCCGGAUUUAUUGGGCGUAAAGAGCUCGUAGGCGGCCUGUCGCGUCGACCGUGAAAACCCGCAGCUCAACUGCGGGCUUGCGGUCGAUACGGGCAGGCUGGAGUUCGGUAGGGGAGACUGGAAUUCCUGGUGUAGCGGUGAAAUGCGCAGAUAUCAGGGGGAACACCGGUGGCGAAGGCGGGUCUCUGGGCCGAUACUGACGCUGAGGAGCGAAAGCGUGGGGAGCGAACAGG
rnacentral:rRNA from 1 species